rnacentral:misc_RNA from 1 species
UCCGGUUUGUCACCGGCAGUCUCAUUAGAGUGCCCAACUGAAUGUAGCAACUAAUGACAAGGGUUGCGCUCGUUGCGGGACUUAACCCAACAUCUCACGACACGAGCUGACGACAGCCAUGCAGCACCUGUGUUCCCGUUCCCUUUCGGGCACACCCAGCUCUCACCGGGCUUCGGGACAUGUCAAGGGUAGGUAAGGUUUUUCGCGUUGCAUCGAAUUAAUCCACAUAAUCCACCGCUUGUGCGGGUCCCCGUCAAUUCCUUUGAGUUUUAGCCUUGCGGCCGUACUCCCCAGGCGGGGCACUUACUGCGUUUGCGACGCCACCGAGGGGGUCGAUACCCCCGACACCCAGUGCCCAUCGUUUACAGCGUGGACUAC